GACGAACGCUGGCGGCGUGCCUAAUACAUGCAAGUAGAACGCUGAAGCUUGGUGCUUGCACCGAGCGGAUGAGUUGCGAACGGGUGAGUAACGCGUAGGUAACCUGCCUGGUAGCGGGGGAUAACUAUUGGAAACGAUAGCUAAUACCGCAUAAGAGUAGAUGUUGCAUGACAUUUGCUUAAAAGGUGCAAUUGCAUCACUACCAGAUGGACCUGCGUUGUAUUAGCUAGUUGGUGAGGUAACGGCUCACCAAGGCAACGAUACAUAGCCGACCUGAGAGGGUGAUCGGCCACACUGGGACUGAGACACGGCCCAGACUCCUACGGGAGGCAGCAGUAGGGAAUCUUCGGCAAUGGACGGAAGUCUGACCGAGCAACGCCGCGUGAGUGAAGAAGGUUUUCGGAUCGUAAAGCUCUGUUGUAAGAGAAGAACGAGUGUGAGAGUGGAAAGUUCACA
rnacentral:rRNA from 1 species